rnacentral:lncRNA from 1 species
UAUCAAUUAUCAAUGGAGAAUUCUGAGAAUAUAUCAUUAUUACUAGAUCAACACAAAACCUUGUUUGAAUUGUUAGAGCAUAACAAAAUGAAUUCAAAGUUGGGUUGAGUGAAUAAAUGGAUAGAGCCUUAAUGGCUCCAAUUAAAUUAUAGGGAAACAGAUUCGUCAAUGGUAUGGAUGGGUUGCUAACUCAAUGGUAGAGUACUCAAAUUUUAAGCGCGGCUAGAAUCUUUUACACAUUUGAAUGAAGGAACAAAUUCGUCCAUACCAUUGGUAUAGUUUGUAAGACCGCGAUUGAUUCCUAAAAGGGAAUUAAUGGAAAAAACAGCAUGUCGUAUCAAUUAUCAAUGGAGAAUUCUGAGAAUAUAUCAUUAUUACUAGAUCGGCACAAAACCUUGUUUGAAUUGUUAGAGCAUAACAAAAUGAAUUCAAAGUUGGGUUAAGUGAAUAAAUGGAUAGAGCCUUAAUGGCUCCAAUUAAAUUAUAGGAAAACAAAUUCGUCAAUGGUAUGGACGGGUUGCUAACUCAAUGGUAGAGUACUCAACUUUUAAGUGCGGCUAGAAUCUUUUACACAUUUGAAUGAAGGAACAGAUUCAUCCAUACCAUUGGUAUAGUUUGUAAGACCGCAAUUAAUUCCUAAAAGGGAAUGAAUGGAAAAAAACAGCAUGUCAUAUCAAUUAUCAAUGGAGAAUUAUGAGAAUAUAUCAUUAUUACUAGAUCGGCACAGAACCUUGUUUGAAUUGUUAGAGCAGAACAAAAUGAAUUCAAAGUUGGGUUGAGUGAAUAAAUGGAUAGAGCCUUAAUGGCUCCAAUUAAAUUAUAGGGAAACAAAAAAAGCAAUGAGCUUCUAUUCUUAAUGUGAAUGAUUACCCGAUCUAAUUAG